rnacentral:rRNA from 1 species
GACGAACGCUGGCGGCGUGCCUAAUACAUGCAAGUAGAACGCUGAAGAGAGGAGCUUGCUCUUCUUGGAUGAGUUGCGAACGGGUGAGUAACGCGUAGGUAACCUGCCUUGUAGCGGGGGAUAACUAUUGGAAACGAUAGCUAAUACCGCAUAACAAUGGAUGACACAUGUCAUUUAUUUGAAAGGGGCAAUUGCUCCACUACAAGAUGGACCUGCGUUGUAUUAGCUAGUAGGUGAGGUAACGGCUCACCUAGGCGACGAUACAUAGCCGACCUGAGAGGGUGAUCGGCCACACUGGGACUGAGACACGGCCCAGACUCCUACGGGAGGCAGCAGUAGGGAAUCUUCGGCAAUGGGGGCAACCCUGACCGAGCAACGCCGCGUGAGUGAAGAAGGUUUUCGGAUCGUAAAGCUCUGUUGUAAGUCAAGAACGAGUGUGAGAGUGGAAAGUUCACACUGUGACGGUAGCUUACCAGAAAGGGACGGCUAACUACGUGCCAGCAGCCGCGGUAAUACGUAGGUCCCGAGCGUUGUCCGGAUUUAUUGGGCGUAAAGCGAGCGCAGGCGGUUUGAUAAGUCUGAAGUUAAAGGCUGUGGCUCAACCAUAGUUCGCUUUGGAAACUGUCAAACUUGAGUGCAGAAGGGGAGAGUGGAAUUCCAUGUGUAGCGGUGAAAUGCGUAGAUAUAUGGAGGAACACCGGUGGCGAAAGCGGCUCUCUGGUCUGUAACUGACGCUGAGGCUCGAAAGCGUGGGGAGCGAACAGGAUUAGAUACCCUGGUAGUCCACGCCGUAAACGAUGAGUGCUAGGUGUUGGAUCCUUUCCGGGAUUCAGUGCCGCAGCUAACGCAUUAAGCACUCCGCCUGGGGAGUACGACCGCAAGGUUGAAACUCAAAGGAAUUGACGGGGGCCCGCACAAGCGGUGGAGCAUGUGGUUUAAUUCGAAGCAACGCGAAGAACCUUACCAGGUCUUGACAUCCCGAUGCUAUUUCUAGAGAUAGAAAGUUACUUCGGUACAUCGGUGACAGGUGGUGCAUGGUUGUCGUCAGCUCGUGUCGUGAGAUGUUGGGUUAAGUCCCGCAACGAGCGCAACCCCUAUUGUUAGUUGCCAUCAUUCAGUUGGGCACUCUAGCGAGACUGCCGGUAAUAAACCGGAGGAAGGUGGGGAUGACGUCAAAUCAUCAUGCCCCUUAUGACCUGGGCUACACACAUGCUACAAUGGUUGGUACAACGAGUUGCGAGUCGGUGACGGCAAGCUAAUCUCUUAAAGCCAAUCUCAGUUCGGAUUGUAGGCUGCAACUCGCCUACAUGAAGUCGGAAUCGCUAGUAAUCGCGGAUCAGCACGCCGCGGUGAAUACGUUCCCGGGCCU